AUUGAACGCUGGCGGCAGGCCUAACACAUGCAAGUCGCACGAGUGGCGGCCGGGUGAGUAAUGUCUGGGAAACUGCCUGCUGGAGGGGGAUCACUCCUGGAAACGGUCGCUAAUACCGCAUACCAUCAGAUGUGCCCAGAUGGGAUUCGCUAGUUGUUGGGGUAACGGCUCACCAAGGCGACCAUCCCUCGCUGGUCUGAGAGGAUGACCAGACACACUGGAACUCAGAAAAGGUCCAGACUCAGACGGGAGGCAGCAGUGGGGAAUAGUGCACAAUGGGCGAAAGCCUGAUGCAGACAUGCCGCGUGUAUGAAGAAGGCCUUCGGGUUGUAAAGUACUUUCAGCGGGGAGGCGUUACCCGCAGAAGAAGCACCGGCGAACUCCGUGCCAGCGGCCGCGGUAAUUC
rnacentral:rRNA from 1 species